rnacentral:rRNA from 1 species
UACGUAGGGUGCAAGCGUUCAUCGGCAUUACUGGGCGUAAAGCGUGCGCAGGCGGUGAUGUAAGACAGAUGUGAAAUCCCCGGGCUCAACCUGGGAACUGCAUUUGUGACUGCAUCGCUGGAGUGCGGCAGAGGGGGAUGGAAUUCCGCGUGUAGCAGUGAAAUGCGUAGAUAUGCGGAGGAACACCGAUGGCGAAGGCAAUCCCCUGGGCCUGCACUGACGCUCAUGCACGAAAGCGUGGGGAGCAAACAGG